rnacentral:lncRNA from 11 species
AAAAUAGCAUUAGCUGUCCCUUCCUGUUCUACAUUUUGCAGCAGUCUCCAGCCAAAAUAUGGAUCCUACUGGUCAACCAUCACCUGAAGUGACAUUGUCCAUGGAAACAAGGCUGAACACAGUUGGCAGCAGAAAAUAUUGUACUUGAACCACCACUGUCAUCAGUACCAAUCUUUGAGAAGAUUGAAGGAAAAAGUCCCGAGGUGGCAUACUUUAAUAGGGUUUCCAUAUCACCUCCUCUUUAGGCCCUGGCCAGACUCCAGUAAGGUUGCUGUGUCAUGUGCUGUCAGUUCAUGCCCUGGGACCAUAUAAUUUGCUAAUUACCACAGAUCACCUUGAGUGCUGGAAAAACUUGCCAGAUUUGUAAAGAAAUAAACAGAG